GCGCCGUUAGCUCAGUCGGUAGAGCAGCUGACUCUUAAUCAGCGGGUCCGGGGUUCGAAACCCUGACGGCGCAC
rnacentral:tRNA from 1 species